rnacentral:rRNA from 1 species
AACGAACGCUGACGGCGUGCUUAACACAUGCAAGUCGAACGAGAAAUCCUAGCUUGCUAGGGUGAGUAAAGUGGCGCACGGGUGAGUAACACGUGAGUAAUCUGCCUCCAAGUCAGGGAUAACUCCGCGAAAGCGGGGCUAAUACCCGAUAUGCUUACGACUACUGCGGUAGAUGUGAGAAAAGGUGGCCUCUGGCAUAAGCUAUCGCUUGGAGAUGAGCUCGCGGACCAUUAGCUAGUUGGCAGGGUAAAGCCUACCAAGGCUACGAUGGUUAGCUGGCCUGAGAGGGUGGCCAGCCACACUGGAACUGAGAUACGGUCCAGACUCCUACGGGUGGCAG